UACGGGGGGAGCAAGCGUUGUUCGGAUUUACUGGGCGUAAAGGGCGCGUAGGCGGUCAGCACAAGUCAGUUGUGAAAUCUCCGGGCUUAACUCGGAAAGGUCAACUGAUACUGUGCGACUAGAGUGCAGAAGGGGCAACUGGAAUUCUUGGUGUAGCGGUGAAAUGCGUAGAUAUCAAGAGGAACACCUGCGGCGAAGGCGGGUUGCUGGGCCGAUACUGACGCUGAGGAGCGAAAGCGUGGGGAGCGAACAGG
rnacentral:rRNA from 1 species